rnacentral:lncRNA from 1 species
GUGGUGGUGGUGGUGGUGAAGGGGUGGUGGGAACCCAUCUGCUAUUUUUAAUUUCCUCGAGGACAGAGACUUGCAGUUAGACUCAAAGAAGUACUGUACUUCCCCAGGUUGACUAAGAGAUGCCAGUGGUGGAGGUGGUGUCUGGGAAAGGCAGAGCCUGGGACGCUGAGUGUCCUGGCCUGAUUGAGGGGAGAUGGCCGGCCUGCGGAGGUGAGGUGCUGGGGCUGCAUGACUUCUGCCCUGCGGCUCUUCUCUCCGGGGUUCCCUUCCCCUAUCUUUCACUCACAUAAAAUUGCUUUCAAAUUAAAAUCGCUGU